AUUGAACGCUGGCGGCAGGCCUAACACAUGCAAGUCGAGCGAGCGGCGGACGGGUGAGGAAUGUAUGGGGACUGCCCGAUAGAGGGGGGUAACUACUGGAAAAGGUGGCUAAUACAGCAUACUGUCGGAUAACCCAUAUGGGAUUAGCUAGGAGGUAAGGUAAUGGCUUACCUAUGCGACGAUCCCUAGCUGUGCUGAGAGGAUGAUCAGCCAGACUGGGAAUGAGACACGGCCCAUACUCCUACGGAGGCAGCAGUGGGGAAUAUUGCACAAUGGGCGCAAGCCUGAUGCAGCCAUGCCGCUUGUAUGAAGAAGGCCCUAGGGUGGUAAAGUACUUUCAGUCGGGAUGCGUUACCGACAGAAGAAGCACCGGCUAACUCCGUGCCAGCAGCCGCGGUAAUUC
rnacentral:rRNA from 1 species